GGGUACGAUUUUAGGAAUAAGUGCUCUUCUCACAAAACCUAAUAUUUAUCCUAGAAUGAAAGUAAGGCUUGACAAGGCGAAAUAUACUCCGACUCUGUUGAAGAUUGGAUCAAAAGUGGUAUACAGGAGUCCUCAGAUUCGUAAAUCAAGAUGUACAUUUUUGUGAACCAUACGAGGUCAUAAGAAUUCGACUAAUUGCAGUGUUAAAAGAUUGUGGUGGAGACAGCAAAAGGUUCUGAAGAUUGGCACAAAGGAGAAUUCCAAAUUUGACGGAAGAAGACUAACAAAAAAAAGUUGAAGAGUUUUGAAGCUUAAAAGUUGCUUUGAUGUUAGGUUUUAUUUUAUCGAGAGCGAUGUACACGCAGAAAGGCCGUGCUAGAGUGCAAAAGUAUUGUACUUCACUGUAGUAAGCGCUUAGGAUAAGGAGAUUAUUAACUUAUUACACAGAAGAACGAACAUAAAUUGGGAGAAUCGACACUAAGCGAAUCUGUGAGUGUUGAAAGAAGAGGAACUUCUGGACAACCGCCUUGAAAACAACGCCACAGAAUCGUAUGAAGUCUAUUAACUU